UUAUUCUCUGGGCCCAUCCCCAAGGAGCUUGGAAACCUUAAGGAGCUAACUAUGCUGUCCUUUGGAUCAAAUAAUUUCUCCGGAACACUCCCUCCAGAACUUGGUAACUUAGUCAA